rnacentral:rRNA from 1 species
CCUACGGGAGGCAGCAGUGAGGAAUAUUGGUCAAUGGGCGGGAGCCUGAACCAGCCAAGCCGCGUGAGGGAAGAAGGUACAGCGUAUCGUAAACCUCUUUUGUCAGGGAACAAAGGCGGGGACUAGUCCCCGGAUGAGGGUACCUGAAGAAAAAGCAUCGGCUAACUCCGUGCCAGCAGCCGCGGUAAUACGGAGGAUGCGAGCGUUAUCCGGUUUUAUGGGGUUAAAAGGGUGCGCAGGCGGCCUGUUAAGUUGGCGGUAAAAGCCCGGGGCUCAACCCGGGCGAGCCGUUGAAACUGGGGGGCUGGAGUUGGGGAGAGGUACGCGGAAUGCGCGGUGUAGCGGUGAAAUGCUUAGAUAUCGCGCAGAACCCCGAUGGCGAAGGCAGCGUACCGGCUCCACACUGACGCUGAGGCACGAAAGCGUGGGUAUCGAACAGGAUUAGAUACCCGUGUAGUC